CCUACGGGAGGCAGCAGUGGGGAAUCUUGCGCAAUGGGCGAAAGCCUGACGCAGCAACGCCGCGUGCGGGAAGAAGGCCUUCGGGUUGUAAACCGCUUUCAGCAGGAACGAAAAUGACGGUACCUGCAGAAGAAGGUGCGGCCAACUAUGUGCCAGCAGCCGCGGUGAUACAUAGGCACCAAGCGUUGUCCGGAUUUAUUGGGCGUAAAGAGCUCGUAGGCGGUUCAGUCAGUCGGGUGUGAAAACUCUGGGCUUAACCCAGAGCCUGCACCCGAUACUGCUGUGACUAGAGUUCGGUAGGGGAGCGGGGAAUUCCUGGUGUAGCGGUGAAAUGCGCAGAUAUCAGGAGGAACACCGAUGGCGAAGGCACCGCUCUGGGCCGAAACUGACGCUGAGGAGCGAAAGCAUGGGUAGCAAACAGGAUUAGAUACCCUGGUAGUCCAUGCGUAACGUUAGGUCGACUAGGUGUGGUUCGUACUACAACGGAACGUCCGCGCCGUCGCUACGCAUAAGUGCCCGCCGUCGGGAGGUACGGUCGCGAGACUAAACCUACGAAGAAGUAGACGGCGNGAGACGUGCCGACGACGACGACGAGGGAGGUAGG
rnacentral:rRNA from 1 species